CACUUGCGAUGACAAGGAAGUAGUUCGCUCAUCCCUGUUCAUGCAAUCCAGCCAUGUAACAGGGUAAAGAAGGGAGGGGGGAGCGUCUGAAAUGAUGUUUAAUCAAUCUUUACAGUGCACAGGCUAGCCCUCUCAAGCCUCAAGAAAGCUACAAUAUUGCAAACAAAAAGAAGAUCUUGCAGCUCUCUUUAUGAUCGUCCUCUCCAUGCUUUCCCUCUCCACUCACUUGUCGCAUGCCCCAUGGCCUUGUGCCAAGAAAAGCAAACAGCACGAGAUGCAAUAAAGAGAUUACAUGUCCAUUUCCAACUGUAAACCAGCAAUGAAUAAUGUAUCCCCACAAACACACACACAGUCAAAAGUAAAAGAAGAUAAAAACAUGUGCCACAUCUUUCUUGGUUUACCCUAAGACACCAAUUCACCACAACACUAUGAUGAGUGCUAGGAAGAAAAGGCGAAGGAUAAACAAGUCUAAGUGGUGGGUGAGGCAAUCACCAUGAUUGUACCUGUGCUUCUAUAUCCAAUCAUCUUUUCCCAAUUACCCUGCAUAACCCAACACACAUAGCCCCACCUACAAAAAUCAAAAUAUAUUGUCAUAUCCCCACUUUCUUAGAUGCAAAGCAAUAAACCAUAAUCAUUUUGUGAUAACCACACCCUAUUAGCACUACUAUAUACAGGCUGAUUUCCUCUCCUUCUGUUUCCUUUUUGUUCUGAUACCAGCCCAUUACUGGUAACAGGCACAGCUACAAGGUUGGUUGGAUAUGCAUGGUAUAUCAAUAUAUAGAGAGAUAUAUCAAGUUUGACCUUACUGACUGUACUCCUGGCGGCCUCAGGGAAGAACAGGUGCACUUCUUUAGUGUGCUCUUGCUAUGUACCCUCAAGGAACAUUAACGACAAAGGUGAAGAAAGCAACAGGAGCAACAAUACUAAGAAGGGAUCCUUUGCGGAAGAGAGAGAAUAUGUGGUCAUGGAAGAAGCCAGUAAUAAUGAUUCAGUACAAGAUCAUCAAAUGAGCAAUGGUGGGAGAAAUAUAAGAAGCAGGACUGCUAGUGGGUCUAAUAAUGGACCUCUCUUGGAAACUUCUCCUCUCAAGAGUACUCUCAAGAAAACUACUAAUGCUAUAGUUGGGGAAAAUCAAGCAAGGAAAGAUCAUCAAAAGAGAAAAGUCAGUUGGCCUGAUAUUGCUCAUGGAACAGAUAUUGCUCAUGUUCUUGAAUUUGAAUCAAGCACCUCUGAUGAUGGAGAACUUGAAGGAGUAAGGAACUCUUGUGUUUGUACAAUUCAGUGAACAAGAAAUCCAUAGAUGGAUCUCCUGAUGAUGCAGUUCUUCAAGAACAUUUCACGGUAUUCACAUUCUUGUACUGUGUCUUAAUAUAGAAUUAACUCAAGUCUUCUAUAAUAACAUGGAAGGCAGAAAACAUGUAAACAGAAACUGUAGAAAGAAAUAAACCAUCCAGGAUUCUUUUGCA